rnacentral:misc_RNA from 1 species
CCGAGUUUACAACUCCCAAACCCCUGUGAACAUACCACUUGUUGCCUCGGCGGAUCAGCCCGCUCCCAGUAAAACGGGACGGCCCGCCAGAGGACCCCUAAACUCUGUUCUAUAUGUAACUUCUGAGUAAAACCAUAAAUAAAUCA